rnacentral:tRNA from 1 species
ACUAUUUUGGCAGAGUAGAGUGCAGUAGAUUUAGAAUCUAAACAUAUGAUUAUUAUCAUAGAUAGUA